GUGCACUUUUGUUAUCAGCUGCUCUUGUGUUAAUGAUUGAUGUAACUAAGGCUGUGCCUUGUUUCUGUAGCUUGGCUGUAGGUGAGGAUUGCUGCAGGUAGAGCUAGAGACACAUGGGGUUAAGGAAGGGGGAUUUCUGCCUGGCAAUACAGGCAGGAAGCUGUUUUUUAGCUGUAUUUCAUAAGGAAAUUAGUAACUGUGGUGCUGUCUGUAUGCCUGUCCCCAGUAAUUUUUCAAGUUAGUGAUUAAUUCCAACAGUAUUUGGAACAGGAGAGAAAUCUCAAAAGGUUGAUUAAAGUUGAAUACAGAGAAGAGGUUGCCCUGCCCUGGUCUGAAGUGUGGGCCAAACCCAAAGCUGUGCUGGUGCUGAAACUCCAGCAGCACUGCCUGGGAUGGAGUGAUGCCCUCCCAGACUCUCCUGAGCAUCUGCACAGCCCGGAGGAACCUCUGCUAUUUUGCUUUCCAAGCCAUUGGGUAACCAGGUUGGUUACCCAAUCUGGACCAGAGCUGCUGCUCCCCAAGCCAGGUUUUUGGGGGUCAGAGUGGAGUAAUUGCAUCUGAAAUUUGAGAGCACAGGACGUGGAGUAAGGAGCGUGGUACUCUGCUCUGAACAGCCUCUCUGGCAACUCGUUUGAGGUACAGGGCAAAAAAGAUAACAAACCACCACCACAAAAAAAAAAAACAAACAAAACAAACCCUCAAACCAAACCCAGCAAACAACCCCCAAAAAAAACAGCACAGGGAAAUGGUUUGAAUAUUUGCCCAGAGAUGAAUUUGGGUUUUGCCAUGGUAGCGAUGAUUUGCAUGGGAGGAGAAAAUUUAAGAUUGUUAAGAUUGGU
rnacentral:lncRNA from 1 species